AUAGUUUUGUAGUUGCUCAAAAUCAAAUCACCUACAGCUGCAAUCCUUAGGGCCCGUUUGUUUUGGUGUAAGUGGAGUGAUGAAAUUCAAGUUUCAUCACUUUCGUUAUUUGUUUUGGUGUAAGUGAAAAAUAUAAUGUAACUCAAGUUACGUUAGAGCUCCACUUCACCUACUCUCGACUUCCGGCUCUAAAGUACCGAACUCGACUUCCACCACACUCAACCUUCUCUAAACAAUUUAUUAAACAGUAAAAUCUAAACUCUACUUUCUUUAUAAUGGGUUAGAAUUACUUUAUUUAUAAUAAAUUAAGAUUAUCUUUAAAUAAUAAUAAAAAAUUUAAUUAUAUAAUAGGUUAAAUUUUAUAGUGAUAAAUUUAUUACUAUAUUUAGGAGAUAAUGGGAUCCACUUACUUACAUCAAAACAAACAACGGAACUCAAAAAACUAAUUUUACCAGCACCAAGUUACAUCAAAACAAACAGCAGAAGUGAUUGAAUUUAACUUUCAGUGGUACGAGUUACGUCAAAACAAACAACAGAAAAAUAAUCACACUUCAGGGAAACUCAAACACCACUACACUUGACUUACGUUGAAUCUACAAAUUCGUCAAUCCAAACGCCCC
rnacentral:lncRNA from 1 species